ensembl:lncRNA
CCGGGCGCCGGGGGGGCGGGGAGGUCACGUGGGCAGGGACCUGGCUUGGAGAAUUGUGAUCUGAGAGGCCGCGAAGAGGGCUGAGGUCUCCAGCUGCCAAAGGUCGCACGGUCCAGCACGAACUGUCUGAAGCAUCGCCAAGUGACAGGAGCACACAAAGAAGCAAAGAUACACAAACUAGAGCCCUGUGAGCAGCAAGGAAGAAAGAAAACAAGGUGGAACACCAGCAUUUGCCAGGUGACACAUAGGUGCCACGGUCUGAAGGCUUUGAGUGCUGGAUGCCUUAGAGCUGCAACCCUGGAGCCAGCGCAGUAUUUUCAUUUCCCAGAUUCCAAGGGAACAGUGCACAAUGGAUUCCUGGGGAGAAGGAGCUCUCCCCCUCAUCCAGGACUCUGGUCACCGCUCCAUCUAUGCUUUCUGGACCUGAUUCACCCCAUAAAGCCUGGAAGUGAACAUUUGUCUAAGAAAAUGUUUUCCAAACAUUUGGCCUGCUUUGUGGCAGAUGGCGCGGAGAGGGAUUUUUUGAUGAUGUUGUUUCUGGGGUUUUGGCAGGGCUGGAGGGUGAAACCCAGGGCCUCACUAUGCGAGGCAAGGGCUAUGCCACUGAGCCCCAGCCUGGUUUCAGCUUUCUAAGGAAAGGUGGCACUCCAAGGACCAAGAGGACCUGGCAGUGCCACUGAAGCUACCCAGGGAGGGAGUGGGUGAGUCAGCCCGCUGAAGAGGGCGUGUGAAGGUGCUGCUGAAUUUCCUCACUCCUCCAGAAAGGUGCAGGAGGUCACCACCCAGCAAUUCACCUGAGCCACAUUCCAAAGACGUUUGGGAUGGCAGCACGCAUGGGAAACACACUGGAGCACAGAUCCCAGCCCGUCCUCUGCUCUGGCCCAUAAAAGGAACCGGUUACCAGGAUGUAGGUGACAGCUUCUCACAUUAAAAGUUCAGGUGUCUUCUUUGGUGCCCAAGUUUGCUAAACAGCGCCGCCUGCUGUCAUAAAAGCCAUCUAACUGGAAAGCCCAGAUAUGUGUCAGCCUUACAAAAGCACCUUUAGGUCCACCCAUAAAAUUCCCCAAAAAGGCAGCCUUGUUCCCUCUCCUCCUCGGUACCUGCUCACUCCAUCUUGACCUUUCUCCAACAAAACCCCCAACUCUUCAUGGAUUUCUUCUCAUUCUGCCACCUGCGACACAUGGUCCUUCCACCACCAACUUAUCAUGGAUCGAACAGCUCCUGUCCCCAAAUUCUGUCACUGACUUCCCCACUUCCUAGUAGGAAGGGGUGAUUAACCACUCAGGGUCUGGUAGGGUAGACACUAAAUGUUCUGCCCCAUUACUUUUUUUAAAAGUAUUUAUUAACUUUUUAAAAAAUAGUGGGAAAUAUGCAUAACAUAAAAUUCACAUUUUAGGUGUACAGGUCAGUAGCUGACCUCCAGAGCUCUUUCAACUUAUGGCCAGUACAAGUCUCAACACUUGAGAGGUGGAAGCAGGAGACAAUCCUUCUACAUCACCUUCCCAAGUGAUUACAGGUGUGCACCACAUGCCCAGCAAAAAUUGUAUGUCACUUGACAUACAAUAAACUGCACAUGUGUAAAGUGUGCA